GCGGGGCAGGGUCGGCCUGAGAAAAUGGCGAGCUCUGGGUAGAGGCGGAGGGUGGCGGGGCUCCUGCCUGGCCCCCUUUUGCUGAGCGGUGCACGACCAUGAAGCUACGGGGGGAUUGAGGGCUGGGAGAGCUGCGGAUGUGCUGCCUUCGACCCCCUUCUCCCCUCAGAGUUGCUGUGCUUCUGCCCAUCCCGCCAGCUGCUAGCCCCUGGGCUUGCAAGGAUUUCCCUUGCAGCUCUCUCUGAAGACUAAAGCCCUUCCUAGUCCCUCAAGGAGGUGUCUUCUUUGGGCUUUAGGGUCUUAAAUGGCCCCUGGAAGUACGUGUCCAGGGGCUUUGAAGGGGAGAAAAGAGGUGUAGGUCAGGCUGAUGGAGGAUGUCUGGGCCAACUAGCAAUCUUUUCCUCACCGUGUAGUUUCAGUAGCUGUCUGGAAUGUGGGGAACCGGCUUCUUCAGCAGGAAGGGGGAGAGAGCAGAGGGAGAUCAGCCACAACUACACUAAAAUAACCUGAGCUUGGCAGUUAAUGUGCAUCUGUAGUGACAAGAGUUUACAUCCUCGCGGGUGGAGAGGCGUGUUGAAUCCUCAGAUCUUUCAUGUCCAGAAUGUGGAAGUUAAAGCACAGAAAGAUGAAGUUCAUUUGUUCCAGGUCAUCCAACAGAGCAAGUGGCAGACAGAAAAUAGAACCAAGUCCUUCAGUGCUCACUCUGUUGCCUCACGCUGUCUUCCUGUUUUGAUCAAAACGUCUGAAAUGUAAUUUUUGUAGAUAAUAGAUCAUCGGUGUCGUACGUGCUGUCCAGGAGAGAGCCUGAACAAAACUAGGAGAAACCGUAAGG